CUACGGGAGGCUCCAGUGAGGAAUAUUGCACAAUGGGGGGAACCCUGAUGCAGCAACGCCGCGUGGAGGAUGACGCAUUUCGGUGUGUAAACUCCUUUUAUAUGUCAAGAAAAUGACGGUAGCAUAUGAAUAAGCACCGGCUAACUCCGUGCCAGCACCCGCGGUAAUACGGAGGGUGCAAGCGUUACUCGGAAUAACUGGGCGUAAAGGACACGUAGGCGGGUUGGAAAGUCAGGUGUGAAAUCCUACAGCUUAACUGUAGAACUGCACUUGAAACUUCUAAUCUAGAGUAUGGGAGGGGGAGAUGGAAUUAGUGGUGUAGGGGUAAAAUCCGUAGAUAUCACUAGGAAUACCUAAAGCGAAGGCGAUCUCCUGGAACAUUACUGACGCUAAGGCGUGAAAGCGUGGGGAGCAAACAGGAUUAGAUACCCUUGUAGUC
rnacentral:rRNA from 1 species